CACGAACUUACGACGAAGAGUAGCAGCAUCACAGUAAUGGGUGCCGAGGACUAGCACUAGCCCUAGAAUUUGAAGCACUUGAACUCCCACUAAGCUCCACAUUUCAAUCAACAGAGAGAGAGAGAGAAAAAGAGAGAGAGAGAGAGA